GACGAACGCUGGCGGCGUGCUUAACACAUGCAAGUCGAACGAAGUGGCGAACGGGUGAGUAAUACGUGGGUAACCUGCCCUCCUUUUUGGGAUAAGCCUUGGAAACGGGGUCUAAUACCGAAUAAAGGGGGAUGGGCUCGCGGCCUAUCAGCUUGUUGGUGGGGUAAUGGCCUACCUAGGCAACGAUACAUAGCCGACCUGAGAGGGUGAUCGGCCACACUGGGACUGAGACACGGCCCAGACUCCUACGGGAGGCAGCAGUAGGGAAUCUUCGGCAAUGGGGGGAACCCUGACCGAGCAACGCCGCGUGAGUGAAGAAGGCCUUAGGGUUGUAAACCUCUUUCGCUAUCGAACGGGUAGGUGGAGAAGAAGCGCCGGCUAACUACGUGCCAGCAGCCGCGGUAAUUC
rnacentral:rRNA from 1 species